rnacentral:rRNA from 1 species
CAGCCGUAAACAAUGUGCGUUAGGUGUGUCGGUAACCACGCGUUACUGAUGCGCCGAAGAGAAAUCGUGAAACGCACCACCUGGGAAGUACGGUCGCAAGGCUGAAACUUAAAGGAAUUGGCGGGGGAGCACAACAACGGGUGGAGCCUGCGGUUUAAUUGGACUCAACGCCGGACAACUCACCGGGACGACAGCAAUAUGUAGGCCAGGCUGAAGACCUUGCCUGAAUCGCUGAGAGGAGGUGCAUGGCGUAGACGUCU